rnacentral:ncRNA from 1 species
CGAACCUAGGUCAGGCGGGACUACCCGAUGAGUAUAAGCAUAUAAAUAAGCGGAGGAAAAGCAACUUACAAGGAUUCCCCUAGUAACGACGAGCGACCCGGGAAUAUCCUAUCCUUAGAAUCGGGCGGCUCCGUCGUCCGAAUUGUAGUCUGGAGAAGCGUCCUCAACGGCGGACCGGGCCCAAAUCCCCUGUAAGGGGGCUCCAGAGAGGGUGAGAGCCCCAUUGUACCUGGACCAUGUCGCACUACGAGGCACUGUCUACGAGUCGGGUUGUUUGGGAAUGUAACCCAAAUCGGGCGGUGAAUUCCGUCCAAGGCUAAAUACGGGCGAGAGACCGAUAGAGAACAAGUACCACAAGGGAAAGAUGAAAAGGACUUUGAAAAGAGAGUCAAAAAGUGCUUAAAAUUGUUGGGAGGGAAGCGGAUGGGGGCCAGUGAUGCGCCCCAGUCGGAUAUGGAAUGGUGUUGAGCGGUUCGCUGAUCGACUUUGGGCAUGGACCGACAUGGAUUGGGGUGUGCGACUGUGACGACCCGGCCAGUUGUCUCAUGAGUUACCGCUCUAUUUUCUACAUUUAUGCUUCUUUAUGCUUUAUUAUUCGUGUUUUAUGGUAUUGGGUUGGUCGGAUCGAAUCCGGAAAGGAUUUGGCAAGGUUUGAAACACUUAAUCUCUUUAGAGUGAGU